ensembl:lncRNA
ACUCUUUGAUCACUAAGCACCAUGAGACUGACAACAGCAUCCAAAAGACAGCUGGAUGAAUAUAGAGAUCUCACCUGAAGUCAGAAGUCUAAAGGUGCUGACAUGUGGGCCACAAAGUUCUCAGGAGGAGAAACGUGGACCUUGGUAAUUCACUGGGACCCAGAGCAUAUAUAUACAGCAACUGGAAACCCAGUUUCCCUAUCUUCAAGCACAAGGGCUGCUCCUGUGGCAUGGCUAGGGGUCGAAUUGGAGUUGUAGCCACUGGCCUACGCCAGAGCCACAGCAACACAGGUCUGAGCUUCGUCUGCGACCUACACCACAGCUCAUGGCAAUGCUGGAUCCUUAACCCACUGAGCAAGGCAAGGGAUCGAACCCUCAACCUCAUUGUUCCUAGUCGGAUUUGUUAACCACUGUGCCAUGACAGCAAUUCCUUAUUUACUUUUCUUGACUAAUUGCCAUGGAAAGGAUUUCUGAUACUAUGUUGAAUGAAAAUGGCAAAAGUGAGCAUUCUUGUCUUGUUCCUGAUCUUAAAGGAAAAGCUUUCAGCUUUUCACUAUUGGGUAUGUUAGCUGUGGAUUUGUCAUAUAUGGUCUUUAUGUGGUAUAGUCCCUCUAUACCCAUUUUUUGAGAGUUUUGUCAUAAGUGUAUGUUGAAUUUUGUCAAAUGGUUUUUCUUAAUCUAUUGAAAUAAUCAUCUGAUUUUUAUCAUUUAUCUUGGUAAUGUGAUGUAUCACAUUGAAUUACAGAUACUGAACUAUCCUGGCAUCCCUGGAAUAAAUCCCACUUAAUCAUGUAUGUGAUUCAUUUAAUGUAUUAUUGGAUUUGGUUUGUUAAUAUUUUUUGAAGAUUUUUGCAUCUAUGUUCAUCAGGAACAUUGGCCUGCAAUUGUGUGUGUGUGUGUGUGUGUGUGUGUGUGUGUGUGUGUGGUUUGUCCAUGUCUGAUUUUGGUAUCAGCUUAAUAUUGACUUCAUAAAAUGUUUUUGGAAGGAUUACUUUUUCAAUUUGGGGGAAGAUUUUGAGAAGGAUUUCUUUGACUUCCUUUAAAUUCACUAGUAAAGCCAUCUGUUUCUGGGUUUUUGUUUAUUGGAAGAUUUUUAAUUACUCUUUUUUUUUUUUUUCUUUUUCUUUUUAGGGCUGCACCAUGGCAUAUUGUGGUUCCCAGACUAGGGAUCUAAUCAGAACUACAGCUGCCAGCCUAUGCCACAGCCACAGCAACACCAGAUCUGAGCUGUGUCUGUGACCUACACAGCAGCUCAUGGCAAUUUCAGAUCCAUAAUCCACUGAGCAAGGCCAGGGAUGGAACCUGCAACCUCAUGGUUCCUAGUUGGAUUCAUUUCUGCUGCACCACAACAGGAAUUUCUUUAAUUAUACUUUCAAUCUCCUUACCGGUAAUCAGAUUUUCUACUUCUUUAUAAUUCAGUCUUGGGAGAGUGUAUUUCUUAAGAAUUUAGUCAUUUACUCCAGGUUGUCCAGAUUUUUGGUGUAUAUAAUUGUUCAUAGUAGUCUUACGAUCCUUUGUAUUUCUGUGGUAUCAACUGUAACUUCUCCUCUUUCAUUAUUUAUUUAUUUUACUUAUUUGAUUCCUCUCUCUCUCUCUCUCUUUUUUUUUCUUGGUUAGUGUGCCUAAAAGUUGUUGACUUUAUCUUUUCUUUGAAAGAUGUCUUUACUUUCAAAGAACAAGUUCUUAGUUUUGUUGAUCUCCUCUAUUGAUGUUUUAGUCUUUAUUUUAUUUCUCUUCUGAUUUUUUAAUUUCCUUUUUUCUACUAAUUUUGUGCUUUGCUUGCUCUUAGUUUUCUAGAAUCUUUAGAUGUAAAGUUAGAUUGUUUAUUUGACAUUUUAUUGUUUCUUGAAGUAGGCCUGUGUUUCUGUGAAUUUCCCAAUUUGAAAUGCUUUUUCUACAUCCCAUAGGACUUCUAUAUGUUGUAUUCUGCUUUCAUUUUUCUCUAGGCAUUUUUGAUCAUCUUUUGAUUUCUUAAUGACUCUUUGGUUGCUCAAUUGCAUGUUAUUUAUUCCCCGUGUUUUUAUGGAUAUUCAUUUUUUCCCCUUGUGAUUGAUUUUAUAGUUUUAUACUGUUAUGACUGGAGAUGUUUAAUAUGUUUUCAAACUUCUUGAAUUUAUUGAGACUUGUUUUGUGAUCUAACAUGUGAUCAACCCUAGAGAACAUUCCAUGUGUACAUGAGAAACGUGUAUAUAAUUUUCUUCUUUUGGAUGGAAUGUUCUAUAGUUCUAUAUAUAUAUCUAUUAAGUUUAUCUGACCUAAGCUAUCAUUUAAAUACAGUAUUUCCUUAUUGAUAUACUGACUGUAUGAUCUAAACAUUGAUGUAAAUAAAAGGUUAAAAUCUUGUACUAUUAUUGUAUUGCUUUCAAUUUCUCCCUUUAAAUCUGUUAUUAUUGCUUUAUAUAUCUUGGUGCUCCUUCGUUGGAUGCAUAUACAUUUAUAUGCUGUAUCCUCUUACUUAAUAGACCCCUUAUGUCAUGGAAGAAACUUAUAACAAGCUAUUUGGGUAAAGCUUAACACAUUUUAUAAAGGUGAAAAAUAAAUUCUAAUGAC